rnacentral:lncRNA from 1 species
UGGUGAGAAGGAAUCCUAUUAUACAUAAGUAGAGGUCAAAAUGGAUAGAUGUGAUAAAAAAAAAGAUGUAGAAGAACUAAUAAAAAAAAAAAAAAAUGCCCCAAGUAGCAGAAAAGUUAUUCCAAAAGUUAAACCAAUAAGCAACAUAAGGCAAGAAGCACAACUUUUUAUUUUACAUCCAUAAGCUAGUGUUCUUUUUUCAAAAGAAAAGUGGAAGGAGAGAAUGAGCAACACUAAGUGUAAAGAGAAAAUAGACGAUACCAAGGAAAAAAAUAAGGCACCAACUUAUAAACUUCAAUCUGAUAUUAAAUCCUCAAUUAAUAUAAAAGAUAUUUUAAAAGAUAUUAUUUUAAAUGCUAAGAUUAAGUUUACUUUGAGAGAAGCUUU